rnacentral:misc_RNA from 1 species
CUACAGCCCGGCUUGAACGGAAAUCCUUUUUUGUGGCUGGAAAUGCUUAGGCAAAAAGAUUGGGAGUGGAAGACGGAAUAGCU